UACGGGGGGGCAAGCGUUGUUCGGAAUUACUGGGCGUAAAGGGACGUCGUAGGCGGCCAACUAAGUCAGACGUGAAAUCCCUCGGCGUUAACCGGGGAACCUGCGUAUGAUACUGGAUGGCUUGAGUUCGGGAGAGGGAUGCGGAAUUCCGGUAGUAGCGGUGAAUGACGUAGGAUAAUCUGGAGGAACACCGGUGGCGAAGGCGGCAUCCUGGACCGAUACUGACGCUGAGGAGCCGAAAGCGUGGGGAGCGAACAGGA
rnacentral:rRNA from 1 species